UAGGGUUUGAUCCUGGCUCAGAUUGAACGCUAGCGGGAUGCCUUACACAUGCAAGUCGAACGGCAGCACGGACUUCGGUCUGGUGGCGAGUGGCGAACGGGUGAGUAAUGUAUCGGAACGUGCCCAGUAGCGGGGGAUAACUACGCGAAAGCGUAGCUAAUACCGCAUACGCCCUACGGGGGAAAGCAGGGGAUCGCAAGACCUUGCACUAUUGGAGCGGCCGAUAUCGGAUUAGCUAGUUGGUGGGGUAACGGCUCACCAAGGCGACGAUCCGUAGCUGGUUUGAGAGGACGACCAGCCACACUGGGACUGAGACACGGCCCAGACUCCUACGGGAGGCAGCAGUGGGGAAUUUUGGACAAUGGGGGAAACCCUGAUCCAGCCAUCCCGCGUGUGCGAUGAAGGCCUUCGGGUUGUAAAGCACUUUUGGCAGGAAAGAAACGUCGCGGGUUAAUACCCCGCGAAACUGACGGUACCUGCAGAAUAAGCACCGGCUAACUACGUGCCAGCAGCCGCGGUAAUACGUAGGGUGCAAGCGUUAAUCGGAAUUACUGGGCGUAAAGCGUGCGCAGGCGGUUCGGAAAGAAAGAUGUGAAAUCCCAGAGCUUAACUUUGGAACUGCAUUUUUAACUACCGGGCUAGAGUGUGUCAGAGGGAGGUGGAAUUCCGCGUGUAGCAGUGAAAUGCGUAGAUAUGCGGAGGAACACCCGAUGGGCGAAAGGCAGCCUCCUGGGA
rnacentral:rRNA from 1 species